GCUGAAGAACCAGUUUUCAUCCGAUCAAAAAAGUUAAGCAAUGUCAGGCCUGGUCCGUACCCUGAUGGGUGACCGCUUGGUAAUACCAGAUGUUGUAAG